rnacentral:rRNA from 1 species
GACAGAGGCCUCGAGCGUUAGGCGGAAUCACUGGGCUUAAAGCGUGUGUAGGCGGACGCCUAAGUACCUUGUGAAAUCCCACGGCUCACCCGUGGAACCGCUGGGUAUACUGGGCGUCUUGGGCCAUUCAGGGGGCGACUGGAACAAGCGGUGGAGCGGUGAAAUGCGUAGAUAUCGCUUGGAACGCCGACGGUGAAAACAGGUCGCUGGGAAUGUGCCGCGUGAGACACGAAAGCCAGGGGAGCAAACGGG